GCAAGUCGAGCGAGACCUUCGGGUCUAGCGGCGGACGGGUGGGUAACGCGUGGGAAUAUGCCCUUCUCUACGGAAUAGCCCCGGGAAACUGGGAGUAAUACCGUAUACGCCCUUUGGGGGAAAGAUUUAUCGGAGAAGGAUUAGCCCGCGUUGGAUUAGGUAGUUGGCGGGGUAAUGGCCUACCAAGGCGACGAUCUAUAGCUGGUCUGAGAGGAUGAUC
rnacentral:rRNA from 1 species